GGUAUCAACGGUUGCUUCACUAACAUCUAAGGUAAAGACUAUUAUUCUAGAUUGAAGCAUGUAAGGAUGCAAGUAGUAAAUGUAAAUUUACAAUUUGACAAUAUAAGUUAGAGAUGUAAUCGAGCCGAGUCAAGUCUGAGUAUCAUCAUACUCGAGCUCGACUCGACUUUUAGGAAGGAUGCUCUCGUUUGAGCUCGAGCUCGAGUGAGUAGUAUUACUAGAACUCGAGCUCGAUGCAAUACUUGUAGAACUCAAACUCGACUCGCAUGGGGUCGAGUCAAAGCAAGCCUUAUCGAACUUGAGUUAAGAAUAUUUGAAGAUUUCAUUUUUCUUGACAAAUUUUAAGCUAAAAGACAUUAUCAUCCUUCAAAAAAAUUUCAUACAACCUAAAAUAUUUCAUAAAUUCAACCAUUCUUGUGGGCACAAGGGUAAUUUCAUAAUACUAAUAUAUUAAAAAAAUUAAAAUUUAAAAACUCGAUAAGGCUCGACAAACCUUCAAGUCUUGCUACUAAAUACUCAAACUUGACUCGUUUGGCCCUAUUGAGCCACUCGAACUCAACUCGAAAUCGGUCAACUUGAGUUUGAGUCAAAUUUUUAUUUGAGCUACUCGCAAGCAGAUUCGAUUACAACCCUAAUAUAGAUAAGCUACUUAUUUGUAUAUUGGGUUGAGCUUACAUUACUUGAUAGGUCUGAGGAAUUAUUUGUUUAGGAGAGGGUUGGGCGACUUUUGGGCGAGUUGGUGUUAGGUUUUUAUUUAUUUGAAUUAUACCCAACUCGUCCAAGCAUAAAUUGGAUUGAUGUUGGAUUGGAUCAUAUUGAUCAAUUCAAACCCAUAACCCAAAUAAGACCCAAUCAAUUAUUUCAUAUAUUUUGAUACAUAAUACUCUCUCAUACACAUUUACAUAUAUAAAAUGAUUUUUUCUUACACAUAAACAUAGUUUCACAUACAUAAAUACUAAAGCAUCUCCAACUCGAUUUUGGUCUAAUUAUGUCGGUUUGGAUAUGUUUUUUUGGUGUUAGUCUAAUGACUAGUUUGGGGGUUUAGGAUAGAAAAAAAAAGAAAAGAAUGUUAAGCCAUGAAAGAAAAGAAAAUAAGAGAUAUGAAGAAAAGAGAUUUAAUAUUGUUUGGGAGUUUUAAAAGGAAGUAGAAUGAUUUUAGAUAUACAUGUCAAUAAAAUUUCAUUCAAUAAUUUUGUGAGGAUAAAAUUGACAAUUUGAAAAAGUUUUGCAUGGUUCCAUCCGUUUUCAUUUGCUUUCUGCAUGUUUUUGGUUGGGAAAAAUUUUUUCACUAUGGCAGAACUUGGGAUCCUGCAAAAUCCGUGCGUUUCUUUUCUUUACCGUUUCACUCAAAAGUUUCAAACAUAAGAAAACUCAACUUUCUCUACCUUUCUUUUGGUUUCUGCUAAAAUCUCGCUCCCAAAGGCACCAUAAAACUUUAUUAUAACUUAUUGUUUUUUUUAGAAAAAAAUAGUGGUAUUUGUCUAAAAGACUCAAAAUAUCCUCUAGUUUCCAAAACCCAAUCUCCCAUCACCUAUCACUGACAACUUUUGCUAUCCACUAUCAGGGAUACGGGACCGCUCCUGAACGGUCCCCUCACAAAAUCGAACGUGAGGCGAGAAAUGGUCCAAGUCAGCAAGCGUUCAGGUGAGACCAAAAUGACGACGUUCUAUUAAUUGAGAAGGAAAAAAAAAUCUAAAAUUGUAUUUGGGGUAACGGCAAGUUACGGAACGGCAGCAACGUUGGUAAGUGUCCUCCCGCCCAAAAUGAAAGGUUGAAAAUGAAGGUUCCCACUUAGACCCUCUCCCAAACCCACGAAGCAGUUGCCACUAUUCGAAAUUCAUAACUAUCAAAAAACUAGGGCAAUAGACGAGAGGAGAAAUAAUAGAGAAAAAGAGGAGAUUGGCAAGAACAGUGUGACAUUGGAGUCAAACUGUGGAACUGUGGCAUUGUUGAAGGCUGAGCAGAGGAAGCAGAAGGAAGAAGUGGUGGUAGAAGGCCAAUUUUGUUGUGAAUCGGCUUUAGUAAAAGAAGAAGAAACGUGAACCUCAACUUCAAAGUUGAAGAGCGUGGGAUCCUGAGUAGCUAAAGACCACAAAUCGUAAAGGUAAAACAUGUGGCAACCUGGGAUGCAUACAGUAAUGUGUGUAAUUUAUACUUCAAAGUGGAAGGACCUUACUUGUGGUUGUUUUUGGUGUACACUAUGACGCUUUUGUGUAUAGUAAGUAAAAAAGUUCAGCGUGAUAGAAGUGUUAUGUAAAAUUGUAUGUGAUCAUCAAAACAGGAGAUGGGAAAGGAGGGGGAAAUCUUGCGGCACAACUGCUUGAUAAAAUGUGUGAAUGGGUUUGGGAUUUCGUAGGCGUAAAAAAUGGGUGUAGAUGCUGAAUUACAAAAUGCUAAGUAGAUAGUACAAUGCGUUGAGUGUAUCAUACACUGCGAAACUAAAUAGUGACAAGAUAAUUCAGUGCAAUGAAGGGUAAUAUAGCACGUUGGCUAAAAAUUAUGUUAUGUAGGAAAAAAGUGACAUGGAGAAACAUUGAUACGGUGUGUUAAAGUGUAAAACAUUAACAUAAGAAAGUCAAAACUUGUGAGAUGUAGUACAUAGUAUAAGGAAAAGAUCUAGAAAAUGACAAAGGGUAGAGGCGAAGGACAAAUUAGAAAUGAUAGUCGGAGAUUGGUAUGUUAUAUUUGAGAUUUCACUGGUGUAUGUCUAGUGUAUCAGUUGAUGUACAUGAACAUAAUGUUGGAUAAGUCUUACAUGUCGUGGACUAACAGGCACAGAGAAGCAAAGAGUAGAAAUGUUAGUGUAAAAUUGGUGUCUCAUUUUGUGAUUUUCAUUAGUGUAUCUGUUCUAUUAGUUCACGUGCAUGAAGACAAUGUUGGAUAAAUCUUACAUAUUGGUGGAUAACUGUUACAUGGUGUAGAUUAAUAGGUACAGGACAGAAAGAAAAGAGAAAUGUUAAGACUGAAAUUUGAAUGGCGUAUUUGGGACUUCAUUGAUGUAUGUUUAUUGUAUUAGUUGUUGUGCAUAAACAAAAUGUUGGAUAGAUGCUACAUGGUGUUGGAUAACUGUUACAUGGUGUGUAUUAGCAGAUACCAGGCAGAAAGAGAAGAGAAAUGUUAGAUUGAAAUUUGAAUGUCGUACGUGGGACUGCAUUGAUGUAUGUUUAUGGUAUUAGUUCUUGUGCAUGAACAAAGUGUUGGAUAAGGGUUACGUGGUGUUGGAUAAAUGUUACAUGGUGUGGAUUAGCAGGUACCGGCGAGAAAGAGAAAAGAAUUGUUAGAUUGAAAUUGGAAUGUCGUAUUUUGGACUGCAUUGAUGUAUGUUAGAUUGUAUUAUUUAUUGUGCAUGAACACAGUGUUGGAUAAAUGUUAUAUGGUGUGGAUUAACAAAUACAUAGAAGAAACAGAGUAGAAAUGUUAGCGUGUAACUCGUAUGUCGUAUUUGAGACUUCGGUUGUAUAUGUUUAUUGUAUUUGUUGUUAUGCAUGAACAGGAUGGCACGAAUAAGAAGCGAAAGACGGAACAAGAGUUUAGGCGAAAAUGAAGGAAUAGAGGCAGCGGGUACAAGUGAAGUUAGAGAACCAGUUCCACCGUUGAAUGCGUGGAUGAAGUUUAGGUAAUAUUGAUGUUUAUUGAAAAUAAUAAUCAUGAGUAGAAUGCACAGCUAAUUGGUUAAUAUUUAAUGUGUGUAGGAAGGAGUAUCAAAGUACCGUUCCAGCGAAAGGCAUUAAGAUAACAGAGGUAUGUAUUAAGAACUAAAUAAAGCAUUAAUUGUUUAUAGUUGUUGCACGGUAAAAGUAAAAAACACUAUUAGAAAAGGGUUGAUAUCAGAAAGCUCCCUUGAGGUUUCUUUUAAUCACACCUAGCACCCUCCAUGUUUUCGAAAUCACACUUAGCACCCCUGCAAUGACAAUUUUGGUGUCAUUGUCAGCCUCUCUAUUUCAAAAUGAUAGCAAAAAAAUGAAUUGUAGGAUAGAGACUUUAUUUUUGUUCCACCUGUACCCAUAGCCCAAAAAGAGUUUAUUUCCUAGUAGCAAAACAGGUCUAAAUCUUGUUUUUUAGUAUAUGUAAAUGAUCAUCUAAUAAAUAAUAGGAUAGCAUCAGGGUUGUAACACAAUUACAUAUCUUCAUACACCAUGGAGUAUGCUGAUAUGUAUCGUUUGGAGGGAUGCGAGGUAGGGAAGGGUGUUAGAUCAAUCAUCCUUGAAUAAUGUAACACGUUUUGAACAUUCUGUAAUUUUAUGUAAGUUUCUUGUAUAUCUUUACAAUAGAUUGCGUCUCUGCUAUUAAGGUUUACAAAUAAUUCACGUAGAGUUACACAUUAUUUAAAAAAUAUUACAUUGAUCCGAACGGGGAUAAAAAAUGUGAGUAUGGAUUCUCAUAAUAGCAGCAAUAGUUUCAGAAUGUGGUUGUAGUGGUAAAUAAACUUGUUCUUCCAUAUUUGGGAAAAUGCGGUCGUAUAAAUAGCUUUUUUCUGCAUCGUAGUCGAAUGGAGUUUGUAAGUUAUUAAUAUUGCAAUCCUCAGUGUCUAGAUUAUUGCUUGUAGAUGGUGUUUUGGAAACAUAUGGAUUGCGAUACCCCAUUAUGUAGUAGAAAUGGCUCGCUUAGGGUAUAUACUCAUGAAUUCCCAUCAUCUUUGAACUACGUUUAGAUUGUGUUAUUAUGUAGUUAGGAAUUGCGAUUUUGGCAAUGGCACUAUGUCCAUUGCCAAAAGUUAACAUUACUGGAAACGGCAUGACUAAUUAAUAUUAAGGAGGGGGAUAAGAACAGUUGUUAGAUCAAUCAUCCCUAAAUAGUGUAACAUUUUUUCAUCAUUUUGUAAUUUUGUAUAAACUUCUUGUACAUUCUUGCAACAGAAGUGUGAUAAGUUGUUAGUGUAGAUAUGGGUAUAGUAUGUAAUAAUCGUACUUGUGUUGGUAAGUUUUACAGAUAGUUCAAUUAGAGUUACACGUUGUACAAAGAAUAUUACAUAAUUCAGAACAGUUAUCAGCAGUUUGUCAAAAGAAUUUUUUGAUUUUUUUUAAUAUUUUUUGGUAUGCAGUUUUCUUCUUAGUUCUUGUAGUGGAGUAUUGGUCUCCGUAUACUGCAUUGAUUAUUUUUAAAUUAUGACCGUUCAACUUUGGUUAUGGUAUAACAAUACUUAUCCGAAUUUCUUUUUGCCUCUGAACGAGUUAAGGUUGUUUGUGGCAUGAGAUAGAUGUUGGUGAUUUUUGGAUAAUUUCUCACCUUUUGAUUAGGAGAACCUGUCACAUCCUACUGUCGGGAAUGCUAUGUGUUAUUUCAAAAACUUGGGGGAUGCUACAUGUGAUUAGAACAAACAUUAGGGGAGGUUUUUGAUAUUAAUCUGUGUUAGAAAAUGUUGAAUUACAUAUAACAUGAUUCACGAUUAUAUGCAUCCAAUGCAGUAUAAUAAAAUGGUUAAAGCAGCAUAUGAUAAGUUGAGCGAGGAAGAAGUCCAGAAUCGAAAAGAGAACUAUCGAAAAGAGAAAGAGGAGUACAAGAGAGAAAUGGCGCGUCUUGGAAAGACUAUACCGGGAAAACAGCAGAUUAAGGUAAGCACAAGGCAUGGAUGCUGAAAUAGGUUGUUACGUGAUAAUGUGUGUAUAUCUAACUAGUUUUUGUGCUUGAACUUAAUUAUAGAAUCCGAAGUACACCAUUCGUUAUUCACCAAAUCAGAUGGUUUGGUUAGCAUCGAACAUUGAUGAAACAAAAAAAUAGCAAAUCAGAGAUUUGGGGUUUGGAGGGCUGCUGGAAAUAAAGUGUCGCUCCAUUCCGAACGGCAUAGCAACCUGGCUGAUCGACAAUUUUAAUCCUACACUAAGUAGCUUUCAGCUACAUAGAGAUGGUGUGCUACCCUUAACAGCAAAAGACAUCAGUUUAAUCCUUGGAAUCCCAAAUGAUGGCCCCUUACCAGUUGAAGAUACUGAUAGCAGUGAGGGUGGAGAUUCUGGGCCAAGUCGCUGAACAUACAAAUGGAAAGAGCUGGCCGAAGAGUUAGUAAGCAUGAGCGGUGGGGACGAGUUCAAGCGACUAUUUGUUGCAUUUGCUUGUGGAUGUCUAUUAGCUCCAACUACACGGGCUGAGCAUAAAAUUCGGCUAUGGGAUUGCACGAAGGUGGUUACUGAGGUGCCCUCAUUAAACUGGGCAGAAUACGUUAGAAAUGUACUAUGCAAUAGGAUAUUAGAAGUACAGAAGAAAAGCGAAAAGCAGCACCAAUAUGUUGGGGGUUGCAUGUUUGUCCUACUGGUAAGUUUAGUUAUGUGAUAUUGAAAGUUAGUAAGUGAUCUAAGUAGUAGGGGAUGCAACGAAAAGAAAUUUUAAGUAGGCACAUGAAGGUUGUUUACGCAUAGUACUUGAAUUGCAGGUGAUAUAAUUGAUGUGUCAAUGUCUAAGUAUAUUGCAGGUGCAUUACCUUGAUCGAGUGACAAUACUGAAGCACAGAGUGGCUCGAGUUACACCAAGAGUAAAGGCAUGGACAGAUGCUUUAAUUUCAGAACGGGAUGCAUUGGAGAUCGAUAAUCUCGGAGGUUAUGGAAAAGGAAAACUAGUAAGAGCGAUAACUUUUUUUUGAUGGAUUUUAACUUACUAGUUUGUAUGUAUAGGCCACACAUACCAUGUACUUAUGAAGUGAUGGUUUGAUUUUGUUUUCGUAGAUUGGGACGCAUGAAGAAGAAGAGGCUGAAUCUGGUGCACAGAUAAAUGAACUACCCCCUGAACUAGUUGGAAUAAUGAUAGACAGCGGGCAUCAUGAUAUCGCAGUAAGCUGCCUAACUGUUAAAACUGAUACUUCAUUAUGCGCUAUUGUUGCUUAAGUUAAAGUUAUACAUUUUUUAUAAUUUGAACAAUCAUUCGUAAGCAGCCACAGCUACGUAACUUAGGAAAGUAAUGUUGUCAAAUACAAUCAUUAAGUGUUGACGUACAGCAUACAAUCAUUUUUCGUUUGCUAUGCUUGACAUACAAAAUCAGGAAAGUUAGUUGUAAAUCGACAAUGGGACAAAGAAGUAGUUAUGCUUUGUAAAAAGGUGGGAAGAUUUUUCGAACGCCGAUCACAAAUAACACUAGUGCUCAGCUAUAAUCUAGCUACAUUUGAAACGUAGUGUGCUCAUGUCGUUUGUUCCAUAUUUUAUGACAGAAACGAGAGAGAAAAAAAAUUCUCGAAUAGUAUUCAUGCAAAAUACAAAGUUAAUUGUAUACUUCAUGCAAUUCGUGUGCUAAAUACAGCUUAGUCAUUUUCAUGUAAGUUUUCUUGAAAAAUAUUUCACCACCUGAAAGCGAACAGGCAGAUUUCAUGAGGUCCAUGAGUAAAUAAUACAGAUCAAUGCAUAAUAUGAUGAAUUCAUCUGUUCAGAUUAAGUCGAAACCAUAAGAUUCAUUGUGGUUUGUUAAUGUAUAAGCAGGUUGAGCUUUCAGAAGUGUACAGUAUGACAGUGAGUUGCCAAAAAAGGAUAUUAAAUAUUGCAGAAUUGCUGUGUUCUCAUCCUAGGGCCAAAACAGCAACAACAGAGGUCGUUUCAAACGAAAAGCAGAAACAGAGGAUGUCUGAUUCAGAGCAAAUACAUCUUGAUAUGGACAGUGAAGAUCAUUCGGAAUAUCAAUCCGCAAAAGCAGGAAAGGACUCCAAUGCUGACGAUGACGGUGAUAGUGAAAAAGAACAAGAUGCAGGCGGUAAUGAUGAUGACAUUGGGACCUCAACCAGAGCAAUAGAUGAGACUGAACCAACAAAUCGACAUUCGAUGGGGCAGACGACAGUUGGAAAAGAGCAAAGUGGGAGAACCACUGAUGGGAAGGAGGCAGAAAAUGUUGGCAACACAAGUGAUGGGAAGGACAUUUCAGACAGUGUGUACAAGUCAAAUGAUACCCCAACAAUCAUCCAAGAUGACUCAACAGGUCCCUUUCGAAUUGAGCAUCCUUUGGAUCUGCCACACACACCGAGAAGGUUGCGGUCUUAUAGUCGCAAAAGGAAAGGUUAGUGAACAAAAAAACAGUGUCUUGAAUUUGAUGUACAAGUACUCACAAAUUAAAUUUAUUAUGUUGUGUUCAGAAAAUAGAAACCUUGAUAGUAUUUAGUCUGAAUUAAUAGUUACAUUUGAGUUUUGCAUAUGAAUUGAAGAAUUCUUAACUGAUCGGUUAAACGUUAUUGCAAUGUGCUGCCCCAUUAAAUUUUUGUAUAAUAUGUAUACCUAAUCAUUAGGGUUAAUAUCAGAAACCUCCCUUGAGCUUUCUUCUAAUCACACCUAGCACCCCUCAUAUUUUCGAAAUCACACUUAGCACCCCUGGAAUGACAACUUUGGUAUCAUUGUCAACCCCUCAAUAUUUUUGUUCCACUUUUACCCUCAUUGUGAACUCUAUUUAUGUAACUCACAUCCCUUCAACUUUAGUAACACUACAAUAUCGUGCCUGCACAGUGUAACAUGUUUUGAACAUUUUGUAAUUUUAUAUAAGUUUCUUGUACAUCUUUAUAACAGAUUGCAUUUCUGUUAUUAAGUUUUACAAAUAAUUCACAUAGAGUUAUACAUUGUUUAAAAAAUGUUACAUUGAUCUGAAUGAAGAUAAAAAAAAAUGUGAAUAUGGAUUGUCAAAAUGGCAGCAAUAGUUUCAAUAUGUGGUUGUAGUUGUAAAUAAACUUGCUCUUUCAUUUUUGUGAAAAUGAGGUAGUAUAAAUAACUUUUUAUGCAUCCUAGUUGAAUGGAGUUUGUAAGUUAUUAAUAUUGCGAUAUCCUAUUGUCAAGUAGAAAUGGCUUGCUGAUACUAUAUACUCAUGAAUUUCCAUCAUUUUUGAAUUACUUUUAGAUUGUGUUUUAUUCACUUAGGAAUUGCAAUUUUAGCAAUGGUACUAUGUCCAUUGCCAAAAGUUAACGUCACUGGAAACUCCAUGACUAUUUAAUAUUAGAGAGUGGGAUAGGAACAGUUGUUAGAUCAACCAUCCCUAAAUAGUGUAACAUUUGUUGAAUAUUUUAUAAUUUUAUGUAAACUUCUUGUACACCAUUACAAUAGAAGUGUGAUAAGUUGUUAGUAUACAUAUGGGUCCAAUAUGUAAUAAUCGUAUUUGUGUUAAUAAGUUUUAUAAAUAGUUCAAUUAGAGUUACACUUUCUACAAAAAAUAUUACAUAAUUACAGAAUAGUUUUACAUAAUUUAGAAAAAACCUCAAGGGAGGCUUUCGAAAUUAACUCUACAUAAAUAGAGUUCACAAGGAGGGUAAAAGUGGAACAAAAAUAUUGAGGGGUUGACAAUGAUACCAAAGUUGUCAUUCCAGGGGUACUAAGUGUGAUUUCGAAAACAUGAGGGGUGCUAGGUGUGAUUAGAAGAAACCUCAAGGUAGGUUUCUGAUAUUAACCCCUAAUCAUUAUUCUGUCAGUGUGAACUACAUAACAUUUUGAUUUUCUGAUGUAUUGAUAUCUGCAGCAGUUGUUGAAGAUGAGAAUGAGCACAGGCCAGCUCGGGCAACAAUCCUAAGCAGCAUGCUACGGUCAGCCGAGUACGUUCUGCCUUCGCACGUGACAAUCAGCAUUUACGACAAAAGGAUCGCUGCAUUCGCGUGGGAGGUACAUAAGAAUCCCAAGUAUGGUUCCUAUAUAUUUAUCAUACGAUUAUGAAGUUAUAAUACAGGCACUUAAGGAUUUAUUGGUAUCACUAUUUGUUAAAUGCAUCCCUCCAGUCCAUUCGUAAUCAAUUCAUGCAUUUUUAUGCUCUUCGAAUUGUAAUUCAAUUUAGGCUAAAAUGGUAUCAAUUGUAACCAUAAGAUUGUAACAUUUCUCUCGAGUUACAUUUCUUGAACAUCCUUUUUGUAAUGAAGAACUAGCAUAAGGUAGUAAAAUUGAUGAAUAUUAGGGAAUGCAUGGUUUCUUAGCGCUAGUAUUUGUUGGCUGAAGUUGAAUGUAACUUUAUGAUAAAGCAUUUACUUUUUUGUAGAACAUGGUUGCUAACAACUGUCAAUUUUAAAAGUAACUCUUUGUCUGACUUAAUGACAGGGAGACACUCAUUCAGAUGUUCCAACUUUCUCUAACAUGAGAUGACCUCAGGACUCUUUGUGAUGGCAUGCAUGUCUCGACUCGGGUUAGGCAUAUUUUUUCAGCCCGAGAAAUAAUACAUUGUGUUGGUUUGGUAAGGUAAAGCGAUACGUUUUCCAAAUGGCAGUAACUAAACCCAUUCUGUUACUUGGCUGUAACUGUACGCAGGUCAUGGACAUAUUUGCCAGGCAUAUAAACUGGGGUGGGGAGGCUAGUACAACCAGUAGAGUCAAGCGCUAUAUUGUCGAGCCUAUAGCAAUUGUAAGUAUUAAAAUUGUUGUUAGAUAAUGACUACCAUUCAAUAAAAUAUUAUCAAAGUUUUGCACAAAUGCAUGUACCAAUCUAUUACCCGAGUCAGUGAAAUUCACCCUAAACAUCUAUAUCCCCUUGUACUGAUUGCUAACAGGAUGGCAUUUUGAAUCUUCGAAAAUUCGAAACACAACCCGAUGACAUCCUAACUACUAAGCUUAUGAAGUUGUUCAAGAUCCGAGGGCCUGAUAAAGCGGCUGAUCCAUCUAGGUGUCAGUUGGUAUGGAUAUAACCUUAUCGUAACUAUUGAUGAGACAUGCUAUAUAUUGGCAAGUUAUUGGUAAACUACUCUAUUAUGCUCGUGCUGAUGAAAUUUUUUUUUAUGCUGCAGAUUCUUGUUCCUGUUCUCGUAGACAGCUGCUGGUUUGUGUACUCCUUCCAUGUCUCACAACGCAUAGUGCAUCUGCUAGACCCUGACCCACAACAAGCAAAGAGCAAAGAUAUUACAGUUCUAAAGCGCUUGGUAUGAGUGUUUAUAGGAGUUGUUCAUUAAUUUUUAUCAUACAAAUAGUUACUUGACUCUGUUUCAUGCAGCAACGUGCCCUCGGACUGAUAAUGGCAGCUAAAUUUGGGAUGGAACUUGACUUUGCAACUUUCAAACUCUUAGUUGCUGAUGUACCUCAUGUGUCACCCGAUCGCAUGUAAAAUAUGGGAUCUUUCAAUACUACCCCGAUACCUUACUAUUGCAAAUACUGUAUUACAAUCACUUUAGUAUAUUGUCCAUAUUUCUGAGUCACAAUAUGUUGAUCUGUGCAGGUUCGAUAGUGGAGUUUUCACGAUGACCUUUCUUGAACACUGGAGUGGAAGAUUGGCUGUGCGAAUUACUGAGGUGUGAUCAUAUUCUAUAACUAUCUGUUUUUGUACUUGUGGCAAUAAAACGGGUAAUAAAUACCUCAAUCCCCGGAGUUUACUAAUACAAGAGGUGAAAUUUUGCAGGAAAAUGUUGCGAAAUAUCGAAUUAUGUACACCGCGCGGCUUUGUAGUUCGGAGCAUAAUACAAAGUUUCAGGACACUAUUGUCGCCACGGUUGGGAGUAAACAGUAAAAGGGAAAAAGAUCAUCAUAGUUAAGGAUGUAAAUUCAGGACUCUUUUUGUAUAGUAGCAAAGGAUGUUUUUAAACAGUUGUUUUUCGACCUGGCCAUAUUAGCGACGAAAUGUGCGUCUUUUUGUAACAUACUGUUUAUUUAUCGGUUUUGGCCAUAAAAUGUGAUUUUAAGUCAUGUAUUUUGCGUUCUUUGAGUUGCAGUUGUCAGUAAUAACAUUAGCCGAACAUGUAUUUGCAAGUAUAUUUUCCGUAACUCUAUGCCAACUACUUGUAAUACAGGCACUAUGAAGAGUAUUGACAAUGAAGACCCAUGGCACCAAUGCCAUUUAGAUUGUGGUACGAUGAAAAGUAUGGACAAUGAAAAGUAUGGACAAUGAAGAUCAAUUACUUGUCAGUAAAAAAAUAUAGGCAUUAAUGACAUGCCCUAUUAAGAGGGCACAGUGUUACACACCAUUCACUUGACCAUAGUUACUUUCAAUCAAGUAAGUUUUGUGCAAAAUGUACGGAGUGUAACUCUGUAUGCACAUACAGGAACUUACCUUCAACAAUGUGUAACUGUAGAACAAACGCUUUAUUGUACCGGUUUUUUUUCGUUAUGCAAGUAGAUGUAACUUGUCAGUAAAUAAUUGACAUGUGAACAAGUCAGUAAAUAAUGCAACGUUGCGUUUGUCCUACAGAUGUUGUCCAGGUAUGCAAAUUAGUUACAUUUUCAAAGCAUUAAGAUGCAUCCUUAAAGUCCAAACUUGGUGGGAAGGACGCUGCCCUUCCAAAUCUCCCUAUUAUAUGGACCAAAGACACCAUUUAUUGUCACUAAUAACCUCCCUUGUACAAGUAUUUUUAUAAAAACAAAUCGUAACUAUAUGCUAAGAACUUGUAAUACCGACCACAGGCAUUAAAGUUUGGAGGUUUUAUUAACUGUAUCCAUUUAUUGUCACUAACUACCACACUUGCUCAAACGUAACACUUCUUUGAACAAGGUGUAAAGCCACGUCAACUACUUGUGCAUCAAAUAUUAAAUAUGGGGUCAAGAUGAUAAAGUAUGUGAUGAUCCAAUGUACAGGUAAGGCAUAAAGCAUGAAAAAAUUCUUGUUUUUAACAAAUACUGCAUGAAAGAACUUUAAACACAUAUAAACGGUAUACGGAAGGUCGGAACCCUCAACCAACGCACAUUACCUGCUGAGUUUUUGUUAAGUUCAUUUCAUGAUAAAAGCUGAAAUUGUCCGUAAUUGUUUAGUAACUCUCCGUAACACUCAUCAAACGUCUCGAUACUAUCUCUUGUACGCCUUGUACUCAAAGUUGGUGUACAGGUCAUAUGGACAUGAUUCCCAAGAAAGGUUGUUACUCUAUAGAUUUCAAUCCCGUCACCUACUUCCUGGCAUGCCUAUUUCAUAGGUGCAGCAAUGCAAAAUUAAGGACAUACACAGGAAAGGUUCCAAGUGCAAUCGUUGCUGAAGGUGUGUGCAUUUUGCAUACUCCAUAAUUCUGUUUGCACAUGGUGUAACUCCCUUUCGACAACGUGUAAUUAUAGUACAAAAUUAGAAGAGUUCCACACAUUUUGUUAUAAAAUGUGGUAUAAGAUGAUAUCUAAACUGGACUAAUUUUGUUUGGCCGAAUAUUAGCCAUGAAGAGCUCGCAAAUGUGUCGUUUGAUGUCUGAGAUGCUUUUGUGUUAGAUCCCAGUCAACAUGUUACUUAUUUCAUACUUGCUAAUUUCUUUGCAGCAUCUUUGCUAGUUUAUAUCGUCCAGGAAAAUAUAUUUUUCACCCCCAAUGUUUAAGGUGUUAACCAAUUUCAUCCCUAAAGUUUCAUGCACAACACAUUUUAUCCUUGUAAUUUUAUAAUUUUGAUUAAUUUCAUCCUUCAAGUUCAUAAAUACACAUUUCAUCCUCAUAAUUUCCUAAAUUUGGCAAAUUAAGGACAAUUGGUAGAAUGUCAAUCAAUUUGAAUGGGAUAGCGUCAAUUGAUCACAACAUGGCCAUUAGUAAAAAAAAAUUGGAUUAACUAAAAUCUCAAAAAUCUUUUAUUUAUUCACUUUCUCAUUUUAGUACAAAAAAGACUAAGAAAUUUUUAGCCACCAUUACUUUCUUCUUAAUCACAAUGAGGUACACGAAAAUAUGAGAAAAAUAUUAAUGCAAAGAAUGAAUGGUUUGGAUUGUCAUUUAUUUGCAAGAUUUUGUUUUGUUGUAUCAUAUACGUGUUUUUCAACCAUCUAUUUAUCUUUCAAUCUAUUUAUUUAGUCUCAAAUAUAUCAUAUCACCACUUAAAGGGAAAAAAAGAUAUAGUCUUGUAUAAAAAAACACUUGUUGUUAUUUCUAUAAUUUAAUCAAUAAUUGAAUUAAGUAUUAAUAAUACCAUCAUGAAUGGGACAUGUGAUGAUAUUAUGUCUAAAAUGGUUAACAAUCCUUUCAUUGGUAGGAAUUAUAAAAUUAUGAUGAUGAAAUAUGUUCUACAUAAAUUUUAGGGACAAAAUUGUUCAUAAUUACAAAAUUAUGAGGAUGAAAUGUGUUUUGUGUGAAAAUUUAGGGACGAAAUUAUUGAACAUCUUAAACAUUGGGGGAUGAAAAGUGUAUUUUUUCCUAUAUCGUCUCUUCCCACAUACCUAAAUCUGAAGCUUUGUGACUUAUCCCGUUCAACACACAUUACCAUUACAUCAUCCCUUAUUACAAACAUCAAUUCCUAACAUCUGCUCCAAGGGAGGUUUACAUCUUUCAAAUGUCUUCAUCUAGCAAUACUGGAGGCGGAUCUACUGACCUAAGGUACCAAUAUCGCUACUGUAGUUGUGGAAGAAGGGCAGCCCUGAAGAUCGUCGAGUCACAGAAACCAACGAAGGGGUUGUUGUACUUCGUGUGUGAAACAAAAGCAUAUACUUUCUUUGCUUGGUGCCGUCCAAUAGGGAGGGAUGACGAGCAAAUUCAGACUAACUACUGUCCCACCUCACCUAAUCGACAGGCUAUAAGCAGAGAAAGCUCCUUCGACAGUCCCGGAAGAGUGUUCCAUGAUUCAACCUCGUUCUCGCACCAUAUGCACGGCAUCGAACACGAUAUUCGACAAAUGAAAACCUUCAUGAGGAUUUCGGUAGCGGUCGCCCUUCUGUUGCUACUAAUAGCAAUUUUUCGCUGACUCUGUGGUAUAAGAUUGGACCCGUAUUCGCGAGCGGUUUGGCGGAUAGUUUUACAUUACUUGUAUGGUAUUAACGCAAAGUAGGUGCUUCUAACAACUGUUGGCUUCUCAUUUUGUCAGUUGGUGAGCAAGCUGUAGUAAACCAUAGAUGCCGUGUACUAAUUCAAUAAUUUAUCUUAUAUAACCUUGCAAGUUGUCGUGAAAAAUAAUGCAACUGUGUAUGGACAUAGUGAAAUUUAACUUCAACGAUGUGUAACCCUGUAUCCACGUGACCCACGAUAUUGGCGUACAGGUUAUUUCACGAUAAACGCUGCAAAAUUUGUGUUAUUGUCUGUAACUGAUUACCCACGUGACGUAACACUUAUCAACAGUGGCGGUACUACAAAUUUCACGCUUUGUACCUAAAUAUUCUGAAUUGACAUAGUUUAGGCGCAGCAGGUGUUGUAGCUGUGCAAGUGGUAACCAAACAAGGUUUUAUACCUAAAAAUAAUAUUAUUGUUGAUCUCAUCGAGUCACAGGGUCAAUGUUGAUAAUGCACCUUUGUGUCUAAAACGAUAACACCGUAAAAGUCAAUUUUUUUACUAAAUAACAUAAAAAGAAAUAAUACACUAUUAUUCCGGUUGAGGAGGUACGAAUCGCACACAGAGAUAGUAAAUUUAGGUCAUAAACUUUGCAAGGCCAUAGAGUGUUACACAUCUGACUUGGGCCAAAAAAAUGUUGUCGAAGGUUUGUAACUUACCUGUAGACUGUAACUGUGUAUGCACAUAGUGAAACGUAAGGUCACUGAUAUGUAACCCUGUAUGCACGUGACCCUUAAUGUUGGUGUACAGGUCAUUCCAUGAUAAAAGCUGUCAAAUUUAUUUUAUUGUCCAAAAUGAAUCAUGACAUAGUUCACCAGCUGCAUGUGACUCAACAGCUUCCACUGUCGUGACGAAAUUGUUGGUCUGAAAUACGUUGGCCCUUGAUGUUUUAGGACAUUGUGAGGGUCAUGCGGACUAUUAAAGGGCGCGGUUGUAGUUUUAUAUCCAACAACAACAAAAGUUUGUUCAUCCCCUUUCAUUAUCGUUUACACUUUCCAUUGUAAUCAACUUCACACAUCCCAUUUCAUACUACUGAAGGGUGGCAAUGAACCCGAAUAUAAAAUUUAUUAUUAGUAGUCUUCCACCCCUCUCAAAGUUGGUGUACAGGACCAGAACAAGAAGACAGCUGCAAAAUUUAUUUUAUUGUCUGAAUUGAUUUGAAAUAGUUCACUAGCAGCAUGUGACCCAUCAUGAUGCUUCCACAUUUGGGACGACAUUGCAGUCCUGUAAACGAUUAGAAACAGCACGUAACACGUAUAUUCACUGUCGGUACUACAAAUCUGAAGCUUUGUAUGUAACGAAACUUAUCUGAUAUGGUUCAAGCACUGCAUGUGAGUGUACAUUCUCUUCUCCCGUGAUAUACUAGUUGGCUUCAUAUGCAAAAAUGUCGAUCUCACUAUUUUAAUGAGAUAUUCGAGAAGGCCUCGCAAGUGCAAUGUUUUGGGGUUCGAAACAAUCAUUGUAACUAUUCUCAAUAGACACUUAAUAAAGUGUCUAAGAAAUUUAAUGUGUCAGUGGGAGGAAUUAUCGUUUCUGUCAAGGGCAAUAGCACAAACAAAAGAAUAUAAAAGUUUCAUCGAAUAUUAACUAGUUGUAUUAUCACUAGUUGUAAUAUCGGGGAAUAUCUAGUUGGAACAUUAUUCAGUUUUAAAUAGAGCAGACGAAAAGUUGCUGAUUGCAAAUUCAUUAGUUAUAAUGAAUUGUAACAUACACUCAACUGGUUGUAAUUCCAUCCGUACAUAGUGAAACGUACAAGCCACUGAUGUGUAACUCUUUAUCCACGUGACCCUUAAUAUUGGUGUACAGGUCAUUUCAUGACAAAAGCUGCAUAAUUUGUUUUAUUGUCUGAACAGAUGUGACACAGUUCAAUGCCAUGCAUCGAACUCUACAGCUUCCACUGCCAUGACGAAAUUAUUUGCCCUGGAAUGCAUUAUCCAGUGAUAUUUUAGCACAUUGUUCGGGUCCGGCGGACUAUAAAAGGGAGCGGGUGCAGUAGUAUAUCCCUCAACAACAAAAUUUUUUUCGUCAACCUUUCAUUACUGCACAAACAUUUUUCACUUUAAAUUACUUCACAUUUCCCAUAUCAUUCUACUGAAGGGUGGCAAUGAACGCGUGCCUGAAAUUUAUUAUUAGUAUUCUUCAACCCUCCUCUAACUUCAAUUGUAGUGUCAUCAAUAGAGGGUUCACACAGCAAUCAAGUUCUUGGGUGCCAAAUAGCAGCCAGUAGGUUGUAUGAUGUUCGAGAAGAUCUCGCUAAUUUAAGGAGAUGUUCGAGAAGGCCUCGCUACAUCAAUUGUUUUGGGGUUCGAAUCGACCAUCUUUAUGUUCUCAUUAGACACUUACUAAAGUGUCUAAGAAAUUAAAAGUGUUGGGGGGAGGACUUGUUGUUUGUGCCAAGCGCAAUUGCACAAACAAGAGAAGAGGAAAGGUUCAUCAAAUAUUAACUAGUACUACAAUCACUAGUUGUAAUAUCAGGAAAUUUCUAGUUGUAAUAUCACUAGUUUUAACUAGAUAAGAUGAAAAACUGCCGAUUGCAAAUUCAUUAGUUGUAAUGUAUUGUAACAUAUUUAUAACUAGUUGUAACUCAAAAUGGUACAUGGCGUAAUCAAAAUUUGUUGCAUUUUAAAUAUUAGUUACCCUACUUUCAAACUACUUGUCCCAACGAAGUAUCAUGUUUUUCUGCGAAACUGUUACUUAUUAUGUGGUCACGUGGAACCAAGUCGAGCCGCCAAUUGUAAGUUCAUUUCUGUACUGAAGGAGUACUACCUAUUGAAGUGCCUGUAAUACUAUCUGUAAUACUUAUCAUUAAUACAAUUAUAAACAAAUUGUCUAAGUUUUAACAUACAAGCAAAUGACAAGGUGCCUGUACAAGCACAUCAAUAAGCGGUAACACCUUAUUAAUUUCUUGUAACGUAUAUAUGCUGGUUGUAACUUCUUGUUACACUUGAAAAGUAAGGUGACCGACCUAUAACUGGGUAUUCACGACCCAAUUGUUGUUGGAGGACAGGUCAUGAUCCAAUCGAAUUAUACUCAUUAUAAUCUCUACUCAAACAAAUUGCUUACCAUAUUUCGAUAUUAAUCAUGCCUGUUAAACAGUCUUAACUAGUGGUAACGUAACAGUAACAUAUCCCUAACUGGUUGUAACCCAUUGUGUACUGUUCGUUCUUCCUUUUUGUUGCAUUGUAAAACUUCAUUUUAACGUUACAAAUUAGUUCUCCAAUGAAUCAUUUUCUUAUGCGCACCUAUUACCAACAUGUGGUCGUGACCUGACUUGACCAUAAUUUAAUUAACCUAAAAACUUGUAAUACCAAUAGCUGUGCCUGUGAUAUAUCAUGUCAAUGGUGCACUAAAUUCGUCAAGCGAUGCAAAACAAAUGGCCUAAAUGAUAAUGUUUUUAUAAAAAUAGCCCAAUAAUAAUUCCAAUUUAUCAUCAUAACAAAAUCAAGACAAUUUAUACUUUAGAUUGUGUUAUCUUAUACAUAGUACCUUUGGCGGUACGAUCUAAGCCAAUAAAUAUGUUAUUAAGGUAUGCAAAUGAAUGUAGUACAAUGGUAUACAUAUCACGACAAUCAUUCAACUGUUAUGGUCAAUUUAGUGAAAAAUAUCCGAACACAAUAAACACGUUCAAUUCUAUUGUAAAAUUGUUACUUCAAUUUUCUGCCAACUUUAUAAUUAACUACAAUUUUAUACAACCCAAUACAAACUAUUGAUGACUAUUAACACUAGAUGCGAUUACAAUUGUAAUUCACUUGUCUAAAUUUGAAAAGAGUGAAACAUCAAUGGUGCCUGUAUAACCUCGUCAAUAAGUUGUAACAGCUUAUUAACUGCUUGUAACGUACAUAUGCAGCAUUCUCAGGUUGGGACAACCACUUAAUGUCUCGUUCAAAAUGUAUAGUUACACAUCAUUCAUCAACCUCAUUCUCGGGAGAGGCGACAUCAACGCGUAGUUGCAAUCCCUGUGUGUUAUUUCUUCCCUGAAAUGCGUAACGAUGGCAAAUCAGCAAAUAUUAUUAAUAAAAUAUACGAUGUCCAAGUCUCCAAUUAAUAACAUUACAUAAAUAUGUGCUGUAACGAUAAAAGUUAGGUGAUGGUGCAAAUACAUGAUAUGCAUCAACAUCACAGUGUGUUGAAAUUGCCCCACGCUCCUCCUACAUUAUAUAGUAUAAGUAAUCGACUGUCAACAAAUUAUUACCAGUGCCUAUAUUGCUCACUUAUAAAGUUAAAUUGGACUAGACAUUAUAACAAAAAUGAUAUAUCAGACCAUUAAAACAUCUCUGACGGAGUUAUGCUUGGAAAAAAUAGAAAAUCUGGGAUGCAUCCAUUCUGUAGGGACACUUGCAGGAGGCCCCUGAUUAGCCAAACGGUGGACCUUGGAAUAAUAAAAAAUAAUACGUUAUUAAAGCGAGCAUACGUUAACUACAUAAUUUGCAUGAUUUGACAGCUUUCGGGUGCCCACCAUUACAAUUAAAGAGAAAAAAAGGUAGCUCUACUACAUGAACAAGAAGGUUUUAUUUUAACUACUAAAUGUAUGCAUACCAUUUAACUUUCAUCGAUAUCGGGAGCAACAACAUUUGGAGGGCCAUUCACUGUCUGACUCAUUGAAUGCGUCUACAAGUUUCGUAUGGGCCAAAUCAUUGUAUAAGACAAACAAAAUACGUAUAUCAUGAGGGAUGACGGCCGUAACAACAUUAUCACACAAUGUAACAUCAAUGUAACUAUUUAUGCUGUUAGAAACAUCCAAAUAAAAGCAAGAGUCAUGUCCAUUUUAUACUAACCGAAACAGAGUCAGUAGAUGAAUAGCAUCCCAUGAACAUGUAUUCCUCAAAUGAAACCGAUGUCGGCUCCGAUUCUGAGACCUACAAUAUUGACACGGCAAUAAUAUUAUUUCAUAAUGAAUGUUACCUAAACUUUAGUUAAUAGUAUAACAAUAACUUAGUUUUAGCAUAAAUGUUCCCCAGGUACCAAAAUUUGAUCCAUACCGUAGUCUGUGUAGUCCUUGAUAAUCUAGAUUUUCUUUUUACUCUGUCAAAUUUAUCGACCCAACUUCGCAUCACUCUACUUUUCUUCCCACCACCUCAUUUUUUAGUGCCUCUUGCGACUACUGCCUCCCCCAUUUCAUUUACAAUUUCAAUUUUAUCUCGUUCCUCCAUAUUCAGAUUUUUUUGAUUUUGCAAAGGUUGCUCUUCGCUUUCUGAGAGGAGGAGCUCAACUCUCUUUGACAAAUCGGAUAUGACAGUGAUUGCUACUUUGCUGGUGUCCUCCGACAUUGCUGCUCGAGUUGCGAUCUUAAUCAUGGCUGGAGCGAGCUCCCGAUAACGAGUUGAAAUCAUGACUUUAGGAUCAGCCACAACUUCCUGUCCUCGCCGAUCAAAACAGUCUCCAGCCCGAACUCUUUUUGUCCAUCGCCUCUUAAUGUAUUCAGGAGGAAUUAUUUUUAUACCCACGGUAUCAAACACCUUCAACGCGUGCCCACAUAAAAUGCCUUCAUUCUCGUAUUUUUUGCAACUGUAACGUACACUUAGAUCAUUCCGAUUGAAUACUACUGUUCUUUCAGGUCCUCCAUCAUACCUCAUGACCGCAAACUCCACAAACAUCGCUGCAUCUUGUUGUCUCAACAUAACCAUAGCUGUUGACUCGCCAUAUUCAUUUUGGAAUGCAACAAAUACGAUUGGUGAAUACGUCUCCGAUGCAUGCACAAGCAUAGGUGUUUGCCUUAACCCUACCAUGGGGAGCUUUUGCCUCAUUUCAUAUUCUGCGAUCAGUUCAUUAUGUCUCUUUUCAUCAACCACCCGAUUGAAAUGUCUAAAGAACUGCACAAGGUCAUGAUCCAGUUUCAAAUGAUUUUUAAUUGCUGCAUUUAGGCUUUCGCUAAGUUGGGUGCUUCGCAUUCCCGCGGUCCAUCUUUCUUUCAUCAUGCACCUUGCCCAUUUAUCACGAAUUCUAUACAACCCGGAGAGCCAUUCAUUAUUUUCAAGAUUGUGUUUCUUCACCAUCGCCUCCCACACCCUAUUGAAUUGUUCCACUUCUUCAAACUCAUACAUGCAGGCACCAAACAUGUAUGGAAGAUCACUAUUUUCCUUGUAAUGAUUGCCAAGAUGUUUCAUAAAAUUACGUCUUAUGUGAAACGUACAUAGACCGUGAAAUGUUUCAGGCAUGACAAUUGAAAGAGCGGCUGCCAUGGCAUGAUCUUGGUCGGUUAGUAUGGUAUUUGGAUGUUUUCCACACAUUGCUUCUAGAAAUGUACCAAACACGCAUUUGAAAGAAUCUAUCGUCUCAUCAUACAUAAGGGCAGCAUCGAAUAUCACAAUUUGCCUAUGCUGGUUAAAACCCACAAAUACUCCAAGUGGCCGGUAUUCUUUAUUUGUUUUGUAGGUUGUGUCGAAUGUGACUACGUCUCCAAAAAAGUUGUAGUCAAUUAACAUUCCUGCAUCAGCCCAAAAGAUAUUCGUUAUUUGUUCUUCACAGUCCAGCUGUACGGCAUGAAAAAAUGAUGGAUUCUCGAGUGUUUGCUCUUGAAAAUAAUUCAGCAUGCUACCUGCUUCUCCAUAUUUCAAGCUCCUUUCCCGUCUCGUUCGAAGAUAUCGUUUAAGAUCAUCCCGAGUAUAUCCCACGUUACCCAUCCCACCUGCUUCCGUUCCCAUAAGGUCAUGGCUCUGUUUCAAUGAAAGCCCAGCAUCCUCGCUUAUUUCAGCUUGGAAUCCUUGAGCCACACUCACUUUUCUUUGUGAUGGCAUCAUGUGAGCAUAUUGAGCAAUGUGCAACUCAUGAUUAUGCUCUAAGACAAGGUCAUGCACACAGUACUUCAUUGUCCCUCUAAACAACACGAUAACCAUCUUAGCUCCACACCCUGUUUUCGUCGGCGCUCGUGUCCUCUUUGGCAUCACAUCACAUUCGUACUUGCGUUUCACACCUUCCUUGCAGCAACUAUAUCUCCUAGACGUGGUCACACCGUCUUUGUCUUUAUUCAGAUAGUCUUUACAUACACUGAAACCCAUUUUAAAGGCAUACUUGUUGUAAAACUUGUACGCAUCCUCUUCACUGUUGAACUUCAUUCCUAACUCAGGGGUCCUAUUUUCUGCCAAUUUGCUGCAAUCCAUUACUUCUGCUCCUGUCAAUUAUGCAUCAAACACCCUAAUUUGUAACAUUUCAUGAAUAGUAUGUACAUAAAUGACAAUAUAAAUGUAUAUUACCAUUUAUAAUGUGUUAUGAAUCACACAUUACUCGUAUACCAAAUCCUAUUAUUACGCUUAUCAAUAUGAUUAAUGAUUCAUAUCACCUUACUUUUACUUUAAGACAACGGCAUUAUAUAUGUACAAAUAUAACUCCAUGUACACUAACUUAUACGGACUGUAAUGUAUUGGUCACACGAUGUAAGUCUAUUUUAACUGUAUGUACAUCCACGCUGGUGAUUAUAUUUUGAUUCUAGGUUCUUUAGCUCACUGGACCUUAUGUCAUUCGUUAAUGGCAACUGCAUAAACCAACUCCACAUUUUCUACUUUUUCAGGACACUUUGAGGGCCAAACAAGUACUUUCUACUCAUUGUAAUAUAUUUCUUACAUCAUGUAAUUGACUUACAACACAAGGUUCACCCAUUUAUUAUUCACAUAUGUGUCUUUUCCUCUGCUUCACCUCAUUCAACUCUACGCCUCCAUUUUAUACACACUGUAUGGUCAGGAGAGGGGCAAACUAAUAUUGCUCCAUGAGCGUGGACCAAUUACUAGAUGCACAAUAAUUCAUAUCAAUUGUAAUACGGUGGCUAUAACAUGUAACUAAUUUACAACAAGAUGUAUAUUCAUUAAUGUUAAAUGUGACUUUGUUUCUCUCAUCUUUCCCUAAUUCCAGUCGAUGGUUUACUUGAAUACAUAACCCUACUUUCUACUCAUUGUAAUAUAUUUCUUACAUCAUGUAAUUGACUUACAACACAAGGUUCACCCAUUUAUUAUUCACAUAUGUGUCUUUUCCUCUGCUUCACCUCAUUCAACUCUACGUCUCCAUUUUAUACACACUGUAUGGUCAGGAGAGGGGCAAACUAAUAUUGCUCCAUCAGCAUGGACCAAUUACUACAUGCACAAUGAUUCAUAUCAAUUGUAAUACGGUGGCUAUAACAUGUAACUAAUUUACAACAAGAUGUAUAUUCAUUAAUGUUAAAUGUGACUUUGUUUCUCUCAUCUUUCCCUAAUUCCAGUCGACGGUUUACUUGAAUACAUAACCCUAGGUCUUCCAAAAACUACUAUCCCAUUAUAGUCCAUCACUGAAAAGCUGAAUGCUCACACACACACAGAUACGGUACACACAUACAAAUACAGUACAACUUCACUAUUCUUCUAUCAUCUUCAUAUUAUGUCUUCAGUGACUCUAAUUUCAUCCUUCCUUUAACAGAUGUGCAUUUGGGUGACAAAUUAUUGGCCACAAUUAUUGACAUGGUUCAGUCAUGUUACCUUGGUCUGCUAAUACGCUUCACGUUUCACCGAAGUCGGAGACGUAGCUGCUUCUGCUAUUAAGUUGAAGGACAAAAUCUGGUUUCGUGAGAUGCUGAAUUUCCUCUAUUUGCUUCUACCUUACCGCCGCUCUUGCACGCAUUCAAAAUACAUACAACACUAUUAUACCCAAUUGGAGACCACAGCUGCUUCUGCUAUUCAGUUUUACGGACAAACUUUGGCUUCAUCUCUGUUUGCUUCUUCCAUGUCGCCUGCCUCUCCACCCACUUUUCUGUCAAUUGCUACCUUCAUCAGAGUAGACUACACCCACUUCACCUAGAAACACCCAGUAGGUUGAAUCCCACCUGAACUUCAGCUUUCUGCCUUCAGUGAGUGGUUGGUCAGAGUAGAUUACCUUCACAAUUUAAUUAUUUGGCUUCCCUCAGUUUUGUUUUCUGCGGCUAAUUCAAAAUUUCAACUUGAAUUUCAAAAACCAAUUCUCUUCCGUUUGCUCCGUCUGUUCCCGUUUGGAAGUCAACAUCUUUUUAUUUGGAACGGCAUCGUUUUUGUGCCCUGCUUCAGCCUUGCUGACUUGGCUCAUUUGUCUCCUCACGUUUUUUAUUGUGAGGAGACCGUUCAGGAGCGGUCGUCUGAGGACCGCUCCUGCCCCGUAUCCCCACUAUCAGUAUCCUAUUUAACGUACACUUUUUUUUCUGUCAUCCAUCACCGACAACUUUUGCUAUCUACCAUCAGUAUCCUGUUUAAUGUACUUUUUCCCCCAUCACUCAUCAUUCACAACUUUAGCUAUCGACCAUUGGUACCCUGUUUAAUUAUCGGAUAUUGCAAACUAUUAUUUCUUAACUAACAAUUAUUUCAAAAUUUUAAAAUGACCAAGAGGUACUUGUGAAGGACAACUUUGAUAAGUGAACCAAUGACAUAAAAACUUCAUAAUGUAUAACUAAAGCGUUAAUUAAUACCAUAUAAUAAAGAGAUGUCAUAGUAGUUCUACGUAACUCGCAUUAUGUACUAUCCUUUUAUCUAACUAUUAUCCCAAAUUUUGUCAUUAUUAACUGAAAUUAUAUCACAAAUUAUCUUUGACAGACUAAUUUCACUAGUAAAUGGUUGUGGAACUUUAUAAGAUCAUAAAAGAAUAACAUUGCUUUAAUCAUUUUUUUAGAACACAAUGAAACAAUAUACAAACUUAAGCUAAAGUAAUUUGCAGAGAAAAAGUUAGAAUCAAUGAAUCAUUAGUUUAGUACUUUCAGAUGUGAUCUUUACAUGAUUAUUGUUCUACAUCAGAAUUGCAUCAAAAUUUUAUAAAUUAGAGACUAGAUGAUUUAGCAGUUGAAAAAAAAAAUUAUCAUGGUGGUGAUGUGAAAAUAAAUUAUAAUAAUCAAAUUGAAAUUGAAGUGGUUAAAGAAAUGCAAUAAAAUGUACAAGGAUAUGACCAAUUUAGAUUUCAUAGUGAUAAUUGUACCGUUAAAAAAAAAAUUUGUGAUCAUCUUUAAAGUUUAAACUAUUUAAGAUUUUCUCAUGCAUUGAUUUACAAUUGUAUAAAACUGGAGUUCUUAAUUUUUAAGAGUUGCAUACUCUAGCAUAGAUUACAAAAUUUGCACCUCCGGACUCUUCGGACUUGCCAUUUCUUUCAAUCCUCAUACUCUCAACAGCCAUAAUCCACCCCCCCCCCCCCAAACUCCCUUCCCUCCCUCUCUCCAUCCUUUCAUUCCUGUUCCUACCACCAUUCUGAUCUGCUUUCCUCAAUUUCUUUUCUUUUCGUUGUGAUCAUUGAUUUCAUCUUUUAUUCUUGUUUGAUUGAAGUUGAGUACAAUAUCCAUUCUAGUAUUUCUCUGUACCAAAAAUUUCUUGCUUUUUUUUUGGUUGCCAUUUUUGAUUAUUUGAAGGCUGUAACAGGAUUGUUUGAUGCUCCGCGGAAUCCGACAAUAAAUCGGACUCCGCCAUGGAAGAUGAAUAGAAGAAUAUUCUCGAGGCCGGCGUCCCACCUCCGCCACAUCCGGCGAUCACUAACCACCCAUAACACAGUCGCCGCCUCCUCCGACGCCACAUUUGCGGCUGACCAGCCUCACCUGGUAAACGUCGUACUAUGGCGCUACCAAAUUCUGGACCCCAGCAGCGACAUUGUCAACUGGUGGAACCAUUUUUUCCUCAUAACUUGCCUCAUCUCUCUCUUCAUCGAUCCUCUCUAUUUCUACCUCCCCUACGUCGGUGAAAUGGCUUGCAUGACCACCGAAAACGAAGCCUCCGUCAGCAUCACCUACUACCGCACCCUCGCCGACCUCUUCUACCUCCUCCACAUUCUCUUCAAGUUCCGCACUGCCUUCGUUGCCCCUAGCUCCAGGGUCUUCGGCCGGGGCGAGCUCGUUAUGGACGCCAGACAAAUUGCCAUGCGAUAUCUCAAAUCUGAUUUCAUUGUUGAUUUUGCCGCUACUCUCCCCUUACCUCAGGCCAGUUUGUAAAAUUCCCCCAUGCAUAUUCUUUUCUUCUUCUUCUUUUUUUCUAACAAUCUUUUCGAGCAGGAUUACCAAGUUAUUAGAUGUUAGUAUGUUAGAAUAAAGAAGCUUUAGAGUUUUAGACUCUAAUUACUUCUUUGACCAUCUUAACUAUACUUUCUUGAAAAACUUGUCAAUAUUUGUGCAAGUCAAUGAUGUGCAAAAAGCUAAACAUGGUUGGCAUUAUUAAAGUACAUGUUUGAAUAUUCUUACCUAGGAUUCUACAGCUACACAGUAUCUUUUUUAAUUUCUUCACAAAUCGAAUAGUUAACUUAUAGUUGUAUGGAAAGAGUUAAUAUAUGCAUGUAUGAAUACCAAUAAAGUGCAAUUUAAAGACUUUAUUUUCUUUUUGAAAGCGAUAUGAUGCAUGCAAAGUUAAUAUGCUAAUUUAAAGAGAUGAGAAAGAGAUAAGAAAUGAGUUAACUUCUAAAUUUUAACCUGAGAUUCAAUUCCACUAUUGCCUUGGCAUAUAGGAGUAUACUUAUUUAUAUAUUUUUGGGAAAAAAAUAGAAUAGCCCGUUAAGGUUAAGUGAACAUAUGAAAAACCCCCUAGACAUACGCUCUAGCAUUUUAUGGUUUGAACUAAUUUAAAAAAGCGACAGAAAUUGUUUGAAUUAACGGAUUCAAAAUACAUGCAUUUUUUUUGCAAGUAUUUGCAUUGGAAACAAACAAUUUUUUAGUUGAUAUAUCUAUUAUAACCUUAGAGUUAUAAUAUAGAAAAGACCCCUGUGAUUAAGUAAACCUAUAGAAAAAGCUCUUAUGGUUUCAAAUCAUACAAUCCAGUAUCUCUUGAUUUGAACUAAUGUGAAAAUCAACAAAAAUCAUUUAAAUUAAUGAGUUUGAGGUUGCUUAGAACCCCUUAGAACUCAUAUUAGCUAAUAUACCUAAUAAACCCCUUAUAACUCAUAAAAUUUCAAAAACAACCAAAAACUCCCAAAUACAACUCACCUUAUUUCUAUACAUAAAAUAAAUAAAUAAAAACUUCCAAAUACAACUUAUCUUAUUCCUAUGCACAAAAUAAAUAAAUAAAAGCAACAUGAAACUAUAGGGGCCUUUUCCCUAAUUUGGUUUAAUCACAGGGGUUUUCCCGUAAGUUUGCUUAAUAGGAUGGUUGUUAGAAGAUCUUUUAUUACUUAUAUAUAUAUAUAUUAGGGUAAUUGUGUCAUUUCAUCUGUCUCCAUUAAUUUUGACAAUUUUCGUUGCUGUUUCAAAUUAGUUCAAACUAUGAGAGGUCGAAAUGUAUGAUUUGAAACCAAAAUGGAUUUUUUGGAAGGUUAGCUUAAUCACACUGGACUUUUUGUAUUUUAACCUAUAUUUUUUGAUGUAUAAGUUGUAUUUCCGACGUUGGGGAGGUGGGGAGACUCAAUUUUUUCUUGGUCCAUUACGCACUCCUUUAACAUAAAUAAGAAGCCACCUGCUUAAUUAAUGCAUUAAUUAUUUCAUAUUUUCGAAAGCUAUUUUUAAGGGAUUCGAAUGCUAAAUGGUAUACAUAACCUUUUUCCUAAAAAUAAAUAUCACAGAUCUUCUGCUAACACUUACCUUUCUACCGUCGAAAUAAUGAAUUCACCAUGGUACUAAAAGCAAUGCUUUUAACGAAAAACCACAAAAAUGGAGCCAUUAAAAUUCAUAAAACUCAUAUUUAACUCAUAUUUAGAACUACAAAAAUUUUUAACUCGUGUGUUAAAAUCUUCAAUGUUUAUGUUUUGAGAAAAUAUAUUAACGAAAAAACAAAUGCAAAAUCCAAUAAAGAAAUUAUCAUUUUAGUUGAAAAUGUUCUUGUUGAAAGUUCAACUCAUUUUACUUUUUGACAUAUUUUCACAUUAACAUCAUUAAUUUAGCUUUGGCUAGUGCUGUAAAAAGUCGCGAGAUUUGUGUUAAAUUCAUUUAUCAAAUUAAAAAAAAAAAAGAAAACCUAGUAAAUCAAGCAUAUACAAUUUGUUUAAUUAAGAGAAUUUUUUAAACAUUCACCUAAAGAGUGCUUGCUUGUUUUAUCAAUUUUUUUGAAUUUUCUUUUUUUACGUCUUAAAAAAUUUAUUAUUCUAUGUCUUCUUCCAAAAUAAAUUUAUUUUUCCUUUCAAUUUGUCAUUUUGUGGAGGAUAAAAAGUUCCAAGUUCAUAAUUGUUUUCCUCUUUUAGUUAUAAAAGUCUUAAUUUGGUUUGGUUUAGAAUUUGGGAAACUACUAUCUCUUUGUAAUUAAAAAGAAAUAAAAGUAUAAAAAUAAGUUACUUUAGCAACCUUGACAAUAUUAUGCAUCUUUUAGAUCCACAAAAAGAGUACAAAGUUGACCGCACAUUUGUGAUUCGGUUUACGAAAAUGAAUUAUUAGAUUUCUAAAUUUAUGUUGCAAAAAAAAAACUAAAGAGAAAAAGAAAAGAAUAAAAAGUGAUAAAAUUGAAGAACAAAUAGUUAAACUUUCUCCCUACCUUUGUUGGUUUAUUAAAUGGUUUUUUUCAUCAUUUGCAAAUUUCUUUCCUUGCUAGAGUUUUUCAAAACUAAAGACAUCACCCCUUAAAUGCUAAAAUUCAUCAAUUAUGGUAGUGUGUGAAACAGCUAAGAAACAGGAGCAGCAGAAAUAAGGGAAAAUCGUCCAAAACGUCCCUCACAUUUUGUAAAAUAACUUUUUUCGUCUUUCACUUUUAAAAGUAUAAUUUUAUGUCCCUUACAUAUUCACAUCGGUCAAAUUUAGUCCCUAACUAGGUUUCCGAUCAUUUUUUGGCCGGAAUCCAUCAUGUGCAAGGCACGUGAUCAUUUUUUAUGGGUAAAUUUGUCAAAUUAUAUUUUACAUAAUCUGAUCUAUAGUCCUCCACAUUUUAUAAAAUAAAUUUUUUCGUCCCUCACAUUUUAUAAAAUGAUUUUUUCAUCCCUUACAUUUCACAAAAUGAAUUUCUCCAUCCCUCACAUUUCAAAAAAAUGAAAUUUUCAUUUCUCACUAAGGGAAAAUCGUUCAAAACGUUCCUCACAUUUUGUAAAAUGACUUUUUUCGUCCCUCACUUUUAAAAGUGUAAUUUUAUGUCCCUUACAUAUUCACAUCGGUCAAAUUUAGUUCCUAACUAGCUUUCCGAUCAUUUUUUGGCCGGAAUCCAUCAUGUGCAAGGCACGUGAUCAUUUUUUAAGGGUAAAUUUGUCAAAUUAUAUUUUACAUAAUCUAAUCUAUAGUCCUCCACAUUUUAUAAAACAAAUUUUUUCGUCUCUUACAUUUUAUAAAAUAAUUUUUUCAUCCCUUAAAUUUCACAAAAUGAAUUUCUCCAUCCCUCAUGUGAGAACCCGUAUUUUUCCCAUUUACUAGGUUUUAUUAUUUUCCAUGGCUUGUUUUCUGCAUUUUCGUGAUUAGGAAAAAUUUCUAGAUACUUUUAAGUAGCAGAUAUAAUUUUUAGAUGAUUUUUCUAGUAUCGAAUAGGUUUUGAGAAAUUAAGAGCGUAUACCGGACGUGGGACCCAAUAGUGCAAAAAGUUCGAAAAAAUUCGGUCAACUAGGUUAAGUUUUGGAUACUGGAAUUAAUUUAUCGGGUGUUAAGAGAUAAUUAGAGGAGGUUAAGUGGGUUGGUAUAAGAGAGACAAGAUAGGUAAGCAUUUAAUAAAAGGCGACAAGUGUCGCCAUUUGAGUGGGUUUACCUUUAAGACCACUGUUCAUGGUUUUACCAAUUGACUAACUAAAUCAAAAACCAACCAAAAUUUCUCCAUUUCUCUUCCCUUGUUGGCCGGCCCUCUCUCUCAAAAAAAGAAAGGAAGAAACUCUUCAAGUUUUGCUUCCAUCUAGCUCAAAUCCAUCCAACCAACCAUUGAAACUUGCAAUUUCUCCAUAAAACAUCUUCAAGUAGUGUUAGUUGAUUUGUGGAGUUAUUUGGAAAGCUAAGAGGACCUAUUGCUCUCUCUCUCUUGUUUCUAAGGUGAGUGGUGAAGAACUACUCUCCUCCCUUUAUUGAUACUUAAAUCAUGCUUAGUGGUAGUAUGAGAUGCUAUUUUAUGGAUUAUAUUUUGAGUUGUGGUUGAAUUGAUGAACUUUUAUAAAUUUUUGGGGAUUUUUCUGUUUUAAUAUGAACAUGAUUGUGUGGCUAUCUAUGAUGAUUGGAAAGGGUAUGUAAUGACUCUAGGAAGUGGAAAAAGUGAUUAAUUACAACCAAUUUCUGGUUUGGAAGAAAUUUCAGAAAAUUAGGGUUUUAGUGGGAACAUUCUGCCCGAAUUUAUAGCUCCUAGUUAGAAGCCGAAUUGGCCUUGACUUAAAACAUAAAAGUUGUUGGGAAUGACAUUUUAGAGGUGCCUACAAAAUUUCAGGUCAAUCGGAGUAGUGUAGAAUGAGAAAAGUCGAAAUUACUAUUGCUGUUCUGGUUUUACCCGAAUGUAAGAAUUGCGCCUGUAAUUGGUUGUUUUGGCUGGAAUUGCUUCCUAAUUGGUUGUUGAGGUCUUUUGAUGAAAUGUAGCCCUGUUUCUUAGCUUUCAUCAGGCUUUGGAAUUUCUGGAUUUGGACUUAAGUAGGCUGAGUUAUGAUAUUUACACCAGAAUGCGUUUUGUGAAUCUGUUUUACGUUUUUGGUGUAGUAUCUUGCAUUUUUGACAUGGUUGCACUCAAAACUGGGUUGAGUGACCUUCUGUAAUGUUAUAGCCCUGUCUUUUAGCUUCGAAACGGUGUAUCUAACACCUUCAUCCGGUAAUCAUAGUGAAAUUGGUGCCAUUACCGCAAAAUGAGGUUAAAAACUGUUUUUUUCAGGGCCAAAGCUAAUUGCCUUUCCGAAUUUUCUGGUUUCCUCUAUUGUUUGUGUAUGCUUAGGGAACCCUAUUUUGGUAGUAUUUAGAAUUAGUUUAUGACUUAUAAUCGAGUCUUAUUGUGUUUAUUUGAAUAGUUUAGGGCUUGACUUUCAUAUCCGGUCAUUUCCUAGCUAAAUUUUGGACUUGAAUGCCAUUAAGCCUAGUGAACGGCUUUUGGGAAUGAGAUUAUUUUUGUACGAGAUGUUGGGACUGAUUGGAAGACAUAAUGAAGCCAUAAUGGCUGGAAAAUAGGUAAAAACAAGGGAUAUGCUGCCGAAAUUUUUCUUGAAGGCUAGUUGGAUUUACUUGUGAUUUGAACGAAAGGCUUUUGGGUUGUUUGAGCCUAGGUCUUCCUGUUACCUUUUCGUUACCAAAAAUCAUGUUUUGCACCCUUGCUUUAGUAAUUAUUUGGCGAGGUAUACGACUGGUAGUCGAGCCUCACAUGUGCAUUCUGUAUACUCGAUUUUGAAAGUGGAACCUUCAAUUGUUUUCCUUGGAUUAUUUUAGGGUUUCUUGGUGAUUAAAGCUCUCUUUUGGGAGGUAUCUGCACUGACCCUGGUGAGUGUACUACUCACUUUUGUGUUACUAUAUGGCUUUGAAUGUAAAUUGCUUGAAGUGAAUUGAAUGUGACUUGAUUGAAGUGAAAGUGUACUUUAUCACUCUCACUUAUAUGCCUUAUAUCAUUGUUGUCAUGUUAAUGGAAUGUUACAUGAAAUGUUACAUGAAAUGAAAGUACUUGACUUGGUGUCGAUUGGACGAGUAUCCAACGACUACAAAUGUUAUCAUUGAGCUCAACCCCAUUGGUAGUUGAUUGAAUCGAGCCGGCGAGGGUUUGGUCGUGCCAAUUAUUGAAUCUUGGGUAAAGUUAUAUGGAAUCUUGUAGUAUGCGAGACUCUCGAUUCCGGUAUACUCGAGUAAUACCAAAGUGCAAGUGUUUGGAUUUCUGGCCCGAUAGGGAGGAUGUUAGGUGGAAGGAGUGGAAGUAAAGUGGAGUCUACGGUUGGUUACUUUUGAACAUUGACGGAGAGUCAAUGACGUCCGAUCAAGAAAUGCAAACGAGGAAAGGGCUCUUGAGAGCCAUUUGUAUCCUUUUAUCACCAUAUUUGACGUGUGCCUUUGCUUAUUUUUACUAUAUUGAAUGAAAGCUUGAUGCUUAUAUGCACUUGAUUGCGUAAGUGAUAGUAUCUCACUGGGCAAUUAGCUCACACCGUUCCUUUUAUUUUCCUUACAGAAAUAUGACUCUUUUUGAAAUAAAUCUUGAUAGAUGGUUGUCGAAUGAACUAGAUGUAUAUCUCUUUUGUAUUGUAUAUGAAGUGAAACCCUAAAUGUAUUUUUAGGGCCGUUUUCACUUUCAAUUUGGCAAACCGUGUAUAUAUUAACUUUUGAAAACUUUUGUAUGUCACUUUGGGUUGUAAUUGCUAAAGUUCAAGGUGUGAAUAUUUGUUUUGAUAUUUGGUUGCGUUCUGACGGGUCGGUUACUAUUCAUGGCCGACUCCGAAUUUCAUUUUUUUUUAUUUUGGGUUAUUUUGCCCUUUUGCCUUGUUUACGCGUGUUAUAAGUUUCGGAACACAAUAGAUCGCUCUAAACUGCUCCGUUAGUCCUGGCGAGAGUUGAGCAGGCAGUCCGCUAACCCCUUUGGUUCGCCUUAGGGGAAGGUGGGGCUGUCACACCUCACAUUUCAAAAAAUGAAUAUUUUCAUCCCUCACUAAUUAUGUGUGUGAGGGAAACCCUAAAAAAAAUGUGUGUGAAUACAUUUUGUUUAAACACAUGUAUAUGUCUAUUUGAUUUUGCUUAAUAAUACGAAUAGCAUAAAUAUAUGUAUGUGUCUAUUUGAUUUCUCUUAACAAUAUGAAUACCAUAUAUUGUACGUAAUCAUUUGAUUUCAUUUGGUAUUAGCUAGUAAAAAAUCUUGUAUUCAUUGUCAAGUUGGCCAAUAAAGUUAUUUUCAAUCAAAAUACAAUAAGAAUAUGCAAAUUAGGGUUCUAUUGGUAAAUAUUAGUCAUAAUCAUACAAAAAGAGAAGAUAGCCACAAGUUGGGCCCAAUUACAUACAUGUGUUUAUGCUAUUAUUAUUAAGCAAAAUCAAAUAGACAUAUAUAUGUGUUUAAAAAAAAUGUAUUCACACACAUAAUUUGUGAGAGGAAAAAUCGUCCAAAACGUCCCUUACAUUUUGUAAAAUAACUUUUUUCGUCUCUCACUUUUAAAAGUAUAAUUUUAUGUCCCUUACAUAUUCACAUCGGUCAAAUUUAGUCCCUAACUAGGUUUCCGAUCAUUUUUUGGCCGGAAUCCAUCAUAUGUAAGACACGUGAUCAUUUUUUAAGGAUAAAUUUGUCAAAUUAUAUUUUACAUAAUCUGAUCUAUAGUCCUUCACAUUUUAUAAAAUAAAUUUUUUCGUCCCUCACAUUUUAUAAAAUAAAUUUUUCAUCCCUCACAUUUUACAAAAUGAAUUUCUCCAUCCCUUACAUUUCAAAAAAUGAAUUUUUCAUUUCUCACUAAUUAUGUGUGUGAAUACAUUUUUUUUAAACACAUGUAUAUGUCUAUUUGAUUUUGCUUAAUAAUAAUAGCAUAAACACAUGUAUGUAAUUGGGCCCAACUUGUGGGCUACCUUCUCUUUUUAUAUGAUUAUGACUAAUAUUUACCAAUAGAACCUUAAUUUGCAUAUUCUUAUUAUAUUUUGACCGAAAAUAGCUUUAUUGGCCAACUUGACAAUGAAUGCAAGAUUUUUUACUAGCUAAUACCAGAUGAAAUCAAAUGAUCACGUAUAAUAUAUGGUAUUCAUAUUGUUAAGUGAAAUCAAAUAGACAUAUACAUAUAUUUAUGCUAUUCGUAUUAUUAAGCAAAAUCAAAUAGACAUAUACAUGUGUUUAAACAAAAAUGUAUUCACACACAUUUUUUUUAGGGUUUCCCUCACACACGUAAUUAGUGAGGGAUGGAAAUAUUCAUUUUUUGAAAUGUGAGGGAUGGAGAAAUUCAUUUUGUGAAAUGUGAGGGAUGAAAAAAUCAUUUUAUAAAAUGUGAGGGACGAAAAAAUUUGUUUUAUAAAAUGUGGAUGACUAUAGAUUAGAUUAUGUAAAAUAUAAUUUGACAAAUUUACCCUAAAAAAUGAUCACAUGCCUUGCAUGUGAUGGAUUCCGGCAAAAAAAUGAUCGAAAACCUAGUUAGGGACUAAAUUUGACCGAUGUGAAUAUGUAAGGAACAUAAAAUUACACUUUUAAAAGUGAGGGGUGAAAAAAGUCAUUUUACAAAAUGUGAGGGACGUUUUGGACGAUUUUCCCCAAAAAUAAUUAAGGCAAAUAAAAGUUAUCAUAGACAAAGAGGAAGACGGAUGUUAUAUACUGAACAAGCUACUUAAGUUGGAGAAAGCUUGAGAAGCUAACCUCCAAAAACAAGGGGUAAGAAGCAUUUAAAAGUUCAUCAAAUUAGUUUAUUGGAAAUAUAGUUACCAAGUUGUUAGAUGUUAGAAUAAAGGUACAUUAGAAAGAAAACAUAAACAGAAUAAAUAUUUUUUCUUUCAACGCCAAUAAAUUAGUUUCACGUACACUAUUUAUCAGCAUGAAUGAAUAGUUGGAUGAAAAAUGUAUGGCGCAAAUUCAAUUUUACUUGCCUUAUUUUUAGAUUAUACCAAUUCAAAUAUUAUAGGCUGAUUACCUCGAAACCUAGUUUAAUAUUUUAUUUGGUUAUUAAUGGAAAUCAAAUAGAUUUAGGUUCUUAGUAUGACUUUUGUUAAUGUUUUCUAUCCUUAACGAAAAAAAAAUCAUUCUUAGUGAGAGUUAUAUUGCAAAUUCACACAAAGCAUUCAUUAUAUGGAAAAAAAAUCUGCUUAGAAAUAAAAAGUGCAUUUAAAAGAACAAAUUGAGAAGACUAAGAAAUUCUUGUUGGAGUGUUGGUUGUAGUAUUUCCUUUUCUUUUUUACCCCCAAUAACAAGUCAACGCAUUGAGAGGAUCAAUCUUUACGUGAUCUUCGCGCAAGGCUACACAAUUGUUCAAUCAAAGUUUGAAUAUUAUUCUUCACAAGCACAAACUUUAAUUCAUUAGGGCAGAUAUUUGUGCCACAUGAGAUGUAUGAAGUAUACAACUAAAAAUUAAUUGGAAGUGUAAUCAAAAGAUAAAGGUCAAUUUUUUUGUAUUUUUUUUUAAAGAAAAGGCAAAUGUCACGGAUUUAAUCAAAUUUUAGAAUGCCAUUUGUAAUGUAAUUGAUUUUUCCCAAAAAAAAAAUAAUUAAAUCAAUUAGCUCUAAGCAGUAAGCUUUUCCGCUAUCUUUUGUUGGUUGACGAAAUCUGCAUUCUGGAGAGCAAAAGGAAUUUCACAACCUUUUUCUUUGCCAAAAAAAAAAAAAAAAAAGUAGUACUGAGAAGGAAGGAAAUUGACAAUAUAAAACCAUAAAACUUAAGCUCCAAUUUUUUUAUUGGUAAUAUUUGAGAUUUUUUGAAUAUUAAUUUUGUGUACUGAUGUUUGUUAAUAUUUACUAAUUUUUAGUGGUUUUUUUUCCAAUUUCUUCACUCACCAUAAAGAAAAAGAUCAAAUAAAUAGGUCUUUAACUCAUUUUGCUAUAUCUUUUCCCUUCCUUUCUUUUACUUCCCAUUCUAGACAAUAUAUACAGAGAUUCCUUUCUUUUUCUACUUUUCCUUCUUUUUUUCCAUUGAAGUCCUCUCCUUCCCACUGGGUUCAUUUCCUUCAAUUCAAAGGAUGCCCAAGUGAUAUGCACACAUUUUUUUCCAUCUUAGAGGAUUACAAGCCUACUACACCUUACAUUUUCAAGAAGUUUUCAGCAUACUGGUUUCCAACUAUGAAAGUUCUUUCCUUGGAUAACAUCCUCGCGAUCAAGUAAAAGGAUUUUUCUAAGGAGUAUUUGGAGAAGUAUUGGUUAAUAAUAUAGUUAUAUUACACAUAACUUAUUAUGUGAAUACACACACUCAUAUUUACCCUCUCGUGCAUUUAAAUACUUUCCAAAAACUCGAAAUUAUCCUAACAAAUGUCCUAGAACACUUGUUAGCCAAACUUCAUGUUAAGUUACCAAGUUAGAUUAGUUCAAAAAUUUAACAAAUAUACUUUAAUAAAUAUAACGGUGGAAUAACAAACACAAUGAUAAUCAAGUAGCAAAUUCUCUCUCUCUCUCUCUACAAAUUUCUUCAGUUUGCUCUACGUUUCAUGGCUGCCCUUCAGCCGUCGGCUGAGGGGCAAGGAUCUCCUACAAAAAAAAAAUCUUUCUCCCAACUUUUUUCACAACCUUCAACAUCAUUUAUCCCAAUUCGGCCAGCGACUGUCUACAAAGGUGAAGCUGCAGUCAUUUUCUCCAGAGCAGAUGCAGAAAAACUUUCGGAGCCGUUUAGAUGGUCUUUAGUUGGAAAAUUCUCUCAUGGGAGACCUUCUUUAGAAGAUAUUCGCAAGUUCUUUGCUUCAUUAAACCUAAAAGACCACAUUUUCAUUGGCUUGAUGGAUUACAGGCAUGUUCUGAUCAAGUGCUCCGCUGAAGCAGAUUUUAACAGGAUUUGGACGAGAGGGAUUUGGCAAUUAGGCAAAUUUCCAAUGCGUGUAUUUCGAUGGUCCCGGGAAUUUCAUGUGCUCAGAGAAUCCUCUCUGGUACCAGUUUGGGUUGAACUUCCAAAUUUACCUAUCCAUUUUUUUGAUAAACAUUCGUUGUUUUCCAUAUUAUCUCCAGUAGGAAGACCAUUGUUUUUGGAUUCGGCAACGGCUGCUGGGACGCGUCCUAGUGUGGCAAGGGUAUGCGUGGAGAUUGAUGUAGCAAAGCCUGUUUUAUCGAGAAUCUGGGUGGCGGUUGAAGGAGAAACCGGCUUUUGGCAAACGAUUGUACCAAAUGAUAUGCCAAGCUAUUGUUCAUCUUGCUGGAGAUUGGGUCAUUCAUCUGAAAAUUGCAAGAAGAACUUCAUCGAUGGUGGACAUCAACACCAAAACAAUCAAACCAAAAGGCCUAAGCAUGGUUCAAAGCUAUCUGGAAAUACUCAACAUAAAUUAGUCAUUACAAAUGAAUGCAAUGACUCAGAAGCUAAAGAAAAAAUAUCAAAAGAGGGUACAACAGCUCCUGAACAAAUGCAAAUUUCUGGUGAGACAAAAGACGAAGGAAUUACAACAGCUGUAACAAAAGAAUCUGAGGGAACUGCUGACAAAUGCAACACUGAAGCCAUAGGGAAAGCAUCAACGGAAUUCAAGUCAGCUACUGAAGAGGUGCGACUUCCGGGAGUAAUUGAAAUUGAAGGAACGUCAAUAGGUGCAAUGGAGCAGUCUGGAACACCUGAGCAAAACGAUGCAGUUGCCGACGCCUAUGCGGUCAAGGAGGGAAAAAAAACAGUAGCUUCAAAUACUGAUGCACAUCCACAGUCGGUUGCUGAUGUCGUCAUGCAUGUCCAUAAGGAGCAUUCGGUCAUGGAAGACCAAUUGACAGUUUGCUAUGGAAAUGAUUGUGAGGGGCCACAAAUUCUCAGGAAACAUAACGUGGGAAUGGUUCAGCAUCAAAUGAUCAAUACCACAAGCAAAAUUAACCAACAGCCCGACAAUUCCAAUGGGAAUAAUUCAUCGGGGCCCCAGCUUAUUGAGGAGCAUAACUUGGGAUUAGUUUAUCAUGAAAGGUCCGACACCACUGAGAUAGAUAAUCUCUAUGUCGAAUUGCGUGGAGCUGAUGAUGAAGAUUCCAAAUCCAAUGCGGUUGAUGAAGUAGCUUUGCCAACUAACGUAGGAAAUCUAUCUCCGAGAUUGGUUAUACCACGUGAGAAGUCGGCUGAGCCAUCAAUACACACUCUAAACAUUGACCAAUCUGUAGGUGUUCAAAUGGAUUGCCGACAAGAUCGUGCUAAGGGUGUGCGAGCUGGCUUCCCAUCCGACAGACAGCUACGUUCAGCAACAUCAUCUCAAAACUCUUUCCAGGUUUUUUCUCAUGAUUAGUGGUUUAUUUUGGAAUAUCAGAGGGGUGGCUAAAGCCCCUAAUCUAAGAAGAUUGAUAAAUUUAGUUCGUGCUCACCAUUUGAAGUUUGUUGUCAUUUGUGAACCAAAGUCAGACGUGUCCAAAAUUGAGUCCAUUCGACUACGAUUAUUAUUUGAUUAUUCAUUUGUUAACUUAUCGGGUGAUAUUUGGAUAUUCUAUAGUAGCCCUUUUGUGUGUUCCAUUACUGGUAGUUCGGAUCAGCAUAUUUCCAUACAGGUUCAAAGUCAAUUGUUUUCUUCUCCAAUCAUCAUGUCUUUUGUCCAUGCUAAAUGUUCAUUAGAGGAGCGGUGUGGCUUAUGGUGUUCAUUAUUAAAUGAUAAGCCUGUUUCACUACCUUGGUGUAUUGGGGGGGACUUUAAUGUUAUUUUAGCCCCUCACGAAAAACGAGGUGGACGUCCGUUUGCUAUAGCGGAAGGAGCGGAUUUCAUGUCUUUUAUGGAAGAGGCAGGGGUUUUGGAUGUCGGCUUUUCAGGAGCUAGUUUCACAUGGUCUAAUAAUCGGAGAGGUAGAGCUCGGGUUUCAAAGAGAUUGGAUAGAUUCUUAAUUAAUGGGUCUUGUUUGGAUUUCUCAGACGUGAUUUCUGUACUCCAUCUCCCAAGACAUCCCUCGGAUCAUGCACCAUUGAAAAUUACUUUUUCUGAUCGAUCAGACAAUAGUCCACGACCUUUCAGAUUUUUGAAUGUCUGGACGACCAAACCACAACUAUUGGAUGUGAUUCGACAGGCUUGGAAUCAAGAUGUGAGUGGAUCUCCGCUACGUGUUUUGUGCUCUAAAUUAUUGGCAACGAGGAGGGCUAUUCAUACAUGGAACAAGCAACAUUUUGGGAAUAUAUUUGAUGCUGUACGUUCGGCGGAAGAGGUGGUCAAACAAGCAGAAGAAUCGAUGGAUCAAUAUGCAUCGGAGGAAUUUCAGGUUGAGCUCAGUAAGGCUCAGGCAGAGUUGCGGAAUGCAUUGUCAAUAGAAGAGCAAUUUUGGAGCCAAAAAGCCAGGGCAAAAUGGCUUACACAGGGAGAUCGCAAUUCAAAAUAUUUCCAUGCGGUCGUAAGACAGAGACGGAUUAAAGGAAUGAUACACCGUAUAAAAAAGUCAAACGGAGUUUGGGUGGACACCAAUGCUGAUAUAGCAACUGAGGCCAUAUCAUAUUUCUCUGAUCUCUUCACUGGCUAUCUUGAGUCAUCUUCUGGUAUGCGACAUAUGAUCCCGCACAUGAUAUCGGAAGAGGAAAAUAGAAAAUUGGAAGAAGUGCCUUCGAUUGAAGAGAUUCAUCGAGUUCUCAAGUCAAUGGAUGGGGAUAGUGCUGCUGGCCCCGAUGGCUUCACAGGCAAAUUUUUUACAUUUGCCUGGGAAAUUAUUGCCCAAGAUGUCUACAAGGGAAUUCUCAGCUUUUUCUGUGGGGCAGAGUUGCCUCGAUUUAUCACUUCUACCUCAAUUGUAUUAAUUCCAAAAAACCCAAAUCCUCAGGAAUUUUCUCAUUACAGGCCAAUCAGUCUGUGUAACUUCUUCAACAAGUUGUUAUCCAGGAUCUUAGCUGAUAGAGUGGCUUCUCUUUUGCCCAAAAUCAUUUCGCCCCAGCAGACAGGCUUUGUAAAGGGCCGUAAUAUAACAGAAAAUUUUUUGCUAGCACAGGAGGUAGUGUCGGGUAUUGGGAAAAAGACUAGAGGUGGUAAUGUGGUAAUGAAGUUGGACAUGUCUAAGGCAUAUGACCGAGUGUCAUGGGAUCAUAUCAUUGGUGUUCUCAGGAGAUUUGGCUUUGGAGAAAGAUUCAUUGAUUUGGUUUGGCGAUUGAUCUCUAAUGUUUGGUUUUCCAUCAUUAUAAAUGGGGCAUCACAUGGUUUCUUCAAAUCUACACGAGGCCUACGUCAGGGUGAUCCAUUAUCACCUGCCUUAUUCAUCAUAGGAGCUGAGGUGUUAUCUAGAGGAUUGAAUAAUCUUGCUAUGCAACCGGGGUUUGUGGGUUUCAAAGUCCCCUGUAUAAGCUUUCACUGGCCUGUACUAGUAUAUAUAUAUAGUCCUGUUACCUUCUAAUAUGUACAGUGAUUUACAAAAAAAAACAUAGGAACAGCUGAGGAUUCAAAGAGCCUUCUGGUCAAGUCUCUCAUUCCAGUUCAAGCAACGAAUUAAGCUAUGAAACCAGUCACCAGUCUGGUCACACUUGUUCACAGUUGGAAGUGGAUGCUGGCUCAUUGAUAUUCGGACAGAAUCUCCUCUUGAUAAUUGUUGCCUUCUCUUUCCAUCAAAAGAAACCCAAGCAUUACUACGUGCAUCCUCAGGAAUCUGCAAGAUGGAAAGAAGAUUUUGAAGGAAUUGUUCAGAAACCGAAACCAGAAUCAAGUUUCACAAAGAAGGGCUAUCCCAAACAUCUGGUAACUUCUACACUUCGUUCUUCCUAACAAGUGACACUCUUCAAUUCUAUUUUCUUUUUUUUUUUUGGGCCUCUGACAAUUGCUGGAUUUGAAGGUUUUGCUGACUAGUACUCCUAAUCACUACAGGAAUUCAAGUGAAGCAUCCCAGUUCAAGAAGGUGACUGUGUUAUAUGUCAGAUCUAAAGGACCACUUACUGCUGUCCAUUUACCAGACUUUACAUUUCUGAUGACACAUAGACUUGCAGCUGAAAUUCAAAUGUACAAUGAACACACUAAGACAGUCCCCUUCUUGUAGCACUUCUAAAGUUCUUAAAGACCAAAGAACCUAUUCACGCCAACAUCAUCAGAUCUGUUUUGGAAGAAUAUAAUGUCAAAGCAAUUGAUACAACUCCUUUGGCACAUUGAACGUUGAUAAUGUUGCUAAAACGCCAUUGUCUAAAACUUAUUUCUAGAGCUCCCAGACCAACAAACAUGAAGACCCAAGAGAGCCGAAAUAUUAUAAUUGCAUUCCAUCAUGCAAAACUAAGAAUUAACCACAUUCAACAGAGAAUCAAUAAAGAAUAAAUCUGUUUUCCACCAGCUAUUGAACUUUUCAUAAAAACUAAAAGUUAUAAAUAUCACCUUUAGUUCAAGCCGGGCAGAGUCUGGAAGUAUGACAGGUCUAAAUGAGAGGGAGUGGGGCAAAUUGGAGUGAAAAGCAUGCAUGGAACAUUUGGAUGCACCUGCAAUGGAAGCACCAUUUGUUACAGGCAAUGGUCUAUUAUGUGUUAAGCAGAAUAAUCAAAAUUAGGAAACAGCAUGAGAUUAAAAAAUCUCAGUUUCAUCACUUGUGGUUUAUCUUUCCAUCAUUGAUUGUAUGAUUAUCACUCACACAUCACAAAUCAGAUGACAUAAAAACCAAGGAAAAUAUACAAGACCAUUAAUAGAUAUCCUCAAAGAAAGUAGAUCAAAGAAAACUUGGAAGAAUAGACAUCAGCAUAUGAGGAAAAAACCACAGGUUCUGAUUACAAGGUAAAAUCACAGUUGACCAUGCAGACUGAGUGUUCACUGGUAGUUACUCUUUUACUGCUCGCCGCUAUGUGGUCUAAGCUCUCAUCUCUCAUGUUCAUUGUUCGUGACGAUGCAAUUAGCCAGCCUUCCUAAGAAGAUGUUAGAAGUCUAACUUGUUGACAUCAACCAAAAGAAAACUAUAUAUUCUGAUAUUUCGAAUAUAUUUCUCUGCUUCUUGCUUCAAGUCUCUUGUAGCAGGGAAAUCUAUUGACACGUACUGUGUCCUUGAGAUAUUGAAGCAUUCCAUAUUCUGUCUGUUUCUAGUUUCUCUUUGUUGAUUUGUCAUUUAAAGCUCUGCAUUUUUUUUCCCAAACAUAAAGUUAAGAAAUUUUGUUUGACACUCAUGCUUCUGCUAAGAAUUGUGCCUCUCAGAAUGUAAUUAUCUCACAUGCCAAAAAAUGAAAAAUGAAUUUAGAUGUUGAAAAUCCUACUCUGCUUCUAAGGAAGAUGCACAUACACUGAUAUUACAAUCAUUGAACAUAAACAACAUAGUCAAGUAAAGACAACUUGACAAAGGCUAGGGAAUACGAAAACUAGUACAAAUUUGAUGCUCAAAUUGAUUGGCCUUGCAGGUCAUAGACAGCAUAAUUUGUGAUUCCAGUCACAACAAUCUAAACAUUUGAACAACUGAUACAAGCAGACUGCUCAAAUUGGUCCCUUAAUUCAACUUUGCAUAUCAAAGCCAACUUGCAGUUUUUGACGUUAUUGCAGAUCUCAAAAAGUUUCCACAGCAACCCCCUCCCCUUCCCCCCCCCCCUCUCUGAAGUCCAAAAUAAAAGGUGAAGACCCCUGCUCUAGGCAAUGGCCUGAAUAAGAUAAGAACCUUAAAAGUCUGUAGGGUUACCGCUCCUGCACUUGCUCUCAGUCUGCAAACUGUUUCCCACGAAGAAUAGCAAAUUUGAGCAAAUCAGCUAAGAAAUCCUUGCAUUUCAACUUUCAUACAAAACCUAGUAAUCAUCAAACCUUCUAAGAUCCCUUCCAAUAGUCAGAUUAACCUCAAACAUCUAGUAAAACCUUUCAGAAACCCCAUCCCUUGGAAAAUUCUUACAGAAAGUCUGUCCUCAAGUGUAAUUUUGUUAAUCUUUAUUAGCUCAUUUGUAAUUUCCCAGAACUGUAAACCAGCAUCAGUUGAUCAUUCAAAUCAAAAUAGGCUGUCCAAACACACCUGAAGUUAACAUACAACAUGUAAGAAAGGACCCCAAGUGUAGGGAGGCAACUGCCUUGGUAGGUUAGGGGCAGCAGUAAACGCUUUAUCGUUAUUUUACUCAGCUUCAAAAAGCCCUUGAAACUCUUUUUCAAAUUUUUUUUUUUUAAGUUUCUCAAUUAGUUUAGUGGAAAAAAAUUGUAUUUAUUUAAAGCAAGGAAUUGAGGGAAAUUUAAAACAUUUGUGGUUCUGGCUCCACCCUCCUUCAGACUAACAAUCAGCAUUGUAAUUCUUUGACUUGAAGAUGAUGUGCACCGGUACAAUAAUUGUCAUUUUCAAAUAUCCUAAGUUUAAUGACAAUUGCACACGCAAAAGUUUCAUUACAAAGUUUGACCUUGAUUUCAACCAUUGGGGACAUAUAUUUACUCAUUCUGUACCGACAUAUAUGCACUCAUUCUGUACCUAGAUGAUUUUAAGUUCUCAAGCAAAUCUCCCUUGGAUGGACAAAAACAUAUGCUAAUAACUAAUGACCCCACUGUUUCCCCCACCCCCCCCCAAAGGGCCCUCUUCCAGUCCCACCUCUGAAACCAUUUCUUUUGAAUUUCUACAUCAACAGGUUCAUAUCUUUGCAUUCAAGUACAAGCAAGCCUUACCAUUGAACCCCAGCAGCUGUAGAGUAAGCAGUACUUCCUGUGGUGUGGCCACUAUAACCCCAUCACCUUGCACCUAUCGAAUUAGUAGAAACAUCAAAGUUUUCAAGAAUUUCUGGCCUCAAAAAAUCACUCAAGACUGAAGUUUUAGAAAAUGUACCUUUGUUAUAAGCCGGUCAUGUUCAUAGCAUUCAAUUUUUGAUAGAUAUGGAUUAGAACCACGAUCAACUACCACUUCAUUGAGGACAUCGAACAGUUUUCCUGGCAUUGCUUUUCCAUUUCGAAAAAUCUCACAGCGAAGACGCAUUCGAAGAGUUAUAUAAACACCAUCCACUGUGUUGUUACCAUUAAUGACUUGUCUUAGGUCCUUCUUACAAUCUUCAAACUGAAUAAAAUGAAUAAGGAAUCACAUAAAAGCUCCCAUGCAGAAGAUUAUAUUGAAAAGAUAAGUCAAGAGACGUACAGUAUGAGAAGUAAGAAAUCCAAGAGACCCAAGAUUAAAUGAGACGACAGGAGGAACGGCAUCUCUGAAUAUAUUUGAUGCAUGAAGAAUAACACCAUCUCCUCCCAAACAGGCAACAAAAUCAACCCUCUCAUGAAGAUCACUGAAAGAAAAAUUCCAUGUAAGGAUAGCACACCUCUAAAUGUAGAAUUGAUUGCAUUUAUUGAAAACAUAUGCAUCUCUACUAAACAUAAAUAAAUGCACAAAAUAAAAGCCAUAGCAUCAAUAGUCAGUUCUUGUACCUUGUAUCUUGGCUAUAGAAAGUCUGAACAAACCCAAAACCAGGGAUUCGAGCGAAAAUGUCAUGCACCUCAGGUUCAACAAGAACAUUCAUUUCUUCUUGGUAAUACAAGAAACGGGCAACCUGCAGUAAAAACAUAUAAUACUGCUGAAAAGGCUGCAGACUAAAGAAAUGAAAUUACACACGUGCAAGUAAACCCUCCCCCCCUCCCCCCCCCUUCUUCUGAUAGAGGAGUGGAAGGAAAAAAGAAAAUGUGACCCUCGGUUGCCAAAGAAGUCAGAUGUGUAAUAUUCAAUAUGCAAAACCAUGUUUUGACGUUUUAGUACAUCCAACAAGAAAUCAUUCUCUGCAAUCUGCAAGGGCAACACGCAUGCAUACAUGCAGCAAAUAUGAAGAAUCAUGUAUGAUAUCAGAAGCAGUCAAGCUAGAAUCAAGGCCAGUAGAAGAGAAACAAAAAUGCACUUGGGUCUCACUAUCUUUGCUGCAGAUGGUAGACAGAGAAUUGAAUUUCUCAUGACUACUUUCUAUAAAGCUAACAACCAAGAGAUGUGGAACAGUAAGAAUCCACAAAUUUGAUGUAUAAAAUCUCACGGCAAUAUUAGGAGCAAAAGUAGCAUAAACAAAUAAUUAAAUCAGUUUUAGCUACAUAAUCCAUAUUGAAUGUGGUAACGAGUAC
rnacentral:lncRNA from 1 species